UACGGAGGAUGCAAGCGUUAUCCGGAAUGAUUGGGCGUAAAGCGUCCGCAGGUGGCUAUGUAAGUCUGCUGUUAAAGAGCAAGGCUCAACCUUGUAAAGGCAGUGGAAACUACAUGGCUAGAGUGCGUUCGGGGCAGAGGGAAUUCCUGGUGUAGCGGUGAAAUGCGUAGAUAUCUGGAGGAACACCGGUGGCGAAGGCGGCCACCUGGGCCGUUGGCUGACGCUGAGGCGCGAAAGCCAGGGGAGCGAACGGG
rnacentral:rRNA from 1 species